GGGAGUUCCGGCUGUUGGCUGGCAGUCUCUUUCCUGGCUGUCCUUCACCCACAUGCAUCAACAGGAGGAGAAAUCUCCACUCCGGAAGCAUCUUCCACAGCCCGGUUCUAGCCACCCUGCCCUCUGCUUCUGGAGAGGGCAUCAGCGCCCCGGCCAAGGCGGAGUACAAGGCCUGGUCCACUGAGCUUCCUGGGCUCUGGUCGGUGGGAAGGAACACGCCCUGCGCAGCACCUCCCUCGGGCUCUCCACGCAGAGUGAGGUGAGGCAGAGGCAUGUCCCCUCUGGACUGACUGAGCCCAUCCCCUGCUGCCGGGCGCCUCCCCAGGCCGCAGAGGGUGGGCGAGAGUCCCCACGAGAAGGGGGCUUAGGGCAGAGCAGGCUGACUCAAAGCCAGAGGUAACCCUUCCAGAGCCGUCUUCCCCCACCUUCCCCAGUGGAAAAGGUUUUAAUGCGUAGGCCUGAACUGUCUGUGGGCACAGGGAAAGCCCGGCAACCACACAGAUGUGCAACAGCGGGGCCUGGCCGAGCCCUCUUCACCCAGCCAAACGAUGGGCCCCGCCGCUGUUAGAUAGCAAAAGGAAAUUUGUGAUGACAGAAAAACAUGCCCAUGAUGUAUUGGUCUGGAGGGCUUCCCUGGUGGCGCAGUGGUUGAGAGUCCGCCUGCCGAUGCAGGGGACACGGGUUCAUGCCCCGGUCCGGGAAGAUCCCACAUGCCGCGGAGCAGCUGGGCCCGUGAGCCAUGGCCACUGGACCUGUGCGUCCGGAGCCUGUGCUCCACAACGGGAGAGACCACAACAGUGAGAGGCCGCGUACCACAAAAAAAAAAAAAGGUCUGGAAAGACCCUAACAAAUCAAAAUGGUGGAGUCUGAGGAGGAGGCCUAGAGAGAACUAGGGUGGAAACCACCCUUUCACUCUGAAAACCUCUGUCCCAUUUGUGCUGCAACAAACAUCCACUGCCUUUAUGUUAAGUGAAAAGACUAUCAAUAAAGAUAUUUCAAAAAAAUAGGGACUUCCCUGGUGGUGUAGAGGUUAAGAAUCCGCCUGCCAAUGAAGGGGACACAGGUUCGAGCCCCGGUCCGGGAAGAUCACACAUGCCGAGGAGCAACUAAGCCUGUGCACCACAACUACUGAGCCUGCCCUCUAGAGCCCAUGAGCCACAGCUCCUGAGCCCGCGCGCCUACAGCCCGUGCUCCGCAACAAGAGAAGCCACCGCAACGAGAAGCCUGCGCACUGCAACGAAGAGUAGCCCCCGCUCACCGCAACUAAAGAAUGCCCGCGUGCAGCAACGAAGACCCAACACAGCCAAAAAUAAAUUUAAAAAAAAAAAAGAUAUUUCAAAAAAAUAAUACAUCUCAUGGAGGGCACGGCGUCUUCUGUUUGGGGCAAGAGACGCGGCUGGAGGUUAGUCUAGGAGCUUCUCUCAUGCCUGUCCCAUCCACCCAUCCCGUCCCACCCCGCCGCCCCUUCACAUGGCCCCGCUUACCUUGGAGUAAGCCUUCCCACCUUUCAGCUCCUGCAUGGGAAACAGACAAAGGCAGCAGGAUGACUAGGGGAUCCCAGGGACCUCAUGGGUCUCCCCAGUCCACCCCAUCCCCCAAUCUGACUCCCAGGGAACGGGGACAAGAAAAGGGGUUGACUGACUCACUCAGGGCAUGGGCCUAAAGCCAGCAGCCCAGUGGCCCUACCAGCGCCCCCUGGCCUCUCACCUUGCGCACCGACACACGGAAGAUGCAGGGGUCCAGCAGGCCGGUGGCCGGGUUGGCACUCAUCUUACACACGAAGGUGAACCUCUUCCGCCACCGCACACAGUUCUCUUGCACCUCCUCCCUGCAGGUCAGAGGGACAGUGAGUGCAAGGGUGCAGGGUCCACUUUUAGGGACGUGAGGGCCCUGCUACCUUUGGGACGGGGAGGGAAACUCUCACUUUUCACUUUGUAUCACAAAGUGACUGUAUUUUCAUAACAAGAAUCUGCUUGUGUACGUGUUAUUAAAAAAACAACAAAAACAUUAAAAUGAAAAAACACAA